CUUCAACGAACCCAGCCACAACGGCUCACUACCGGCCCGCUCCUGACCGUACGUGGCGAUCAGUGCCUGCGCCUC
rfam:Streptomyces yokosukanensis strain DSM 40224 genomic scaffold PRJNA299221_s072, whole genome shotgun sequence.